UUGUCGAAACAUAUUGCGUGUGUACUAACACAUGCAAAGAUGUUCUCUCUGCGUUCUCUCUCAUGAUGACGCGUCAGUACUCUGGGGUACUCAACGCGCUAGCCAGUGUGUGACGCUUUCGUGGUAUGAACUGGCACAUCUAUAUACUGUAUGGUUAGUGCUAGUGGUUUUGAUUAAGAAAAAAAUGUUAUUGUCAUCGCUAUAUUUUUAAAAUGGGACGAGAGAAUUAUCUUCUUUAGCGUCACGACAAGCUCAACGUCAAAGCACAGUCCACUGCCAAUUGCCGUUGUUUCUCGCAUUCAUAUCGGCACCCGCUUUAUAAACGUUUCAAGCGGGAAGAAGACCGCAAAGAGGAACG